rnacentral:rRNA from 1 species
UCGAUGUCUAGGGGUUCUGAGAGGAUUGUCCCCCACACUGGUACUGAGACACGGACCAGACUCCUACGGGAGGCAGCAGUGAGGAAUAUUGGUCAAUGGUCGCAAGACUGAACCAGCCAUGCCGCGUGCAGGAUGAAUGCGCUAUGCGUUGUAAACUGCCUUUCUACAGGAAGAAACCUACUUACGUGUAAGUAGCUGCCGGUACUGUAGGAAUAAGCACCGGCUAACUCCGUGCCAGCAGCCGCGGUAAUACGGAGGGUGCAAGCGUUAUCCGGAUUUAUUGGGUUUAAAGGGUGCGUAGGCGGAAUAUUAAGUCAGUGGUGAAAUCCUGCGGCUCAACCGUAGAACUGCCAUUGAUACUGUUAUUCUUGAAUGUAGUUGAGGUAGGCGGAAUGUGUAAUGUAGCGGUGAAAUGCUUAGAUAUUACACAGAACACCGAUUGCGAAGGCAGCUUACUAAACUAUGAUUGACGCUGAUGCACGAAAGCGUGGGGAGCGAACAGGAUUAGAUACCCUGGUAGUCCACGCUGUAAACGAUGAUCACUCGUUGUUUGCGAUAUAUUGUAAGCGACUGAGCGAAAGCAUUAAGUGAUCCACCUGGGGAGUACGUCGGCAACGAUGAAACUCAAAGGAAUUGACGGGGGCCCGCACAAGCGGAGGAACAUGUGGUUUAAUUCGAUGAUACGCGAGGAACCUUACCUGGGUUUAAAUGUAGAUUGCAUGUACGGGAAACUGUACUUUCCUUCGGGACUAUUUACAAGGUGCUGCAUGGUUGUCGUCAGCUCGUGCCGUGAGGUGUCGGGUUAAGUCCCAUAACGAGCGCAACCCCUAUCGUUAGUUGCCAUCAGGUCAUGCUGGGGACUCUAACGAGACUGCCGGUGUAAACCGUGAGGAAGGUGGGGAUGACGUCAAAUCAGCACGGCCCUUAUAUCCAGGGCUACACACGUGUUACAAUGGUCGGUACAAAGAGCAGCCGCUUGGUGACAAGGAGCUAAUCUCAAAAGCCGAUCACAGUUCGGAUCGAAGUCUGCAACUCGACUUCGUGAAGUUGGAUUCGCUAGUAAUCGCGCAUCAGCCACGGCGCGGUGAAUACGUUCCCGGGCCUUGUACACACCGCCCGUCAAGCCAUGGAAGUUGGGGGUGCCUGAAGUCUGUAACCGCAAGGAGCGGCCUAAGGUAAAACUGAUAACUGGGGCUAAGUCGAAACAAGGUA